AACAGGAUUAGAUACCCUGGUAGUCCACGCCGUAAACGAUGUCGACUUGGAGGUUGUUCCCUUGAGGAGUGGCUUCCGGAGCUAACGCGUUAAGUCGACCGCCUGGGGAGUACGGCCGCAAGGUUAAAACUCAAAUGAAUUGACGGGGGCCCGCACAAGCGGUGGAGCAUGUGGUUUAAUUCGAUGCAACGCGAAGAACCUUACCUGGCCUUGACAUCCACGGAAUUCUGCAGAGAUGCGGAAGUGCCUCCGGGAACCGUGAGACAGGUGCUGCAUGGCUGUCGUCAGCUCGUGUUGUGAAAUGUUGGGUUAAGUCCCGCAACGAGCGCAACCCUUAUCCUUUGUUGCCAGCGGUUCGGCCGGGAACUCAAAGGAGACUGCCGGUGAUAAACCGGAGGAAGGUGGGGAUGACGUCAAGUCAUCAUGGCCCUUACGGCCAGGGCUACACACGUGCUACAAUGGCGCAUACAAAGAGAAGCGACCUCGCGAGAGCAAGCGGACCUCAUAAAGUGCGUCGUAGUCCGGAUCGGAGUCUGCAACUCGACUCCGUGAAGUCGGAAUCGCUAGUAAUCGUGGAUCAGAAUGCCACGGUGAAUACGUUCCCGGGCCUUGUACACACCGCCCGUCACACCAUGGGAGUGGGUUGCAAAAGAAGUAGGUAGCUUAACCUUCGGGAGGGCGCUUACCACUUUGUGAUUCAUGACUGGGGUGAAGUCGUAACAAGGUAACC
rnacentral:rRNA from 1 species